AUUGAACGCUGGCGGCAUGCCUUACACAUGCAAGUCGAACGGCAGCAUGGAGAGCUUGCUCUCUGAUGGCGAGUGGCGAACGGGUGAGUAAAGCAUCGGAACGUACCGUGUAGUGGGGGAUAACGUAGCGAAAGUUACGCUAAUACCGCAUACGCACUGAGGUGGAAAGCAGGGGAUCGUAAGACCUUGCGCUAUACGAGCGGCCGAUGUCAGAUUAGCUAGUUGGCAGGGUAAAGGCCUACCAAGGCGACGAUCUGUAGCGGGUCUGAGAGGAUGAUCCGCCACACUGGGACUGAGACACGGCCCAGACUCCUACGGGAGGAAGCAGUGGGGAAUUUUGGACAAUGGGGGCAACCCUGAUCCAGCCAUGCCGCGUGAGUGAAGAAGGCCUUCGGGUUGUAAAGCUCUUUCGGCCGGGAAGAAAUCGCACAGGCUAAUACCCUGUGUGGAUGACGGUACCGGCAUAAGAAGCACCGGCUAACUACGUGCCAGCCGCCGCAGUAA
rnacentral:rRNA from 1 species